AGAGUUCGAUCCUGGCUCAGGAUGAACGCUGGCGGCGCGCCUAACACAUGCAAGUCGAACGGCACCCACCUUCGGGUGGAAGCGAGUGGCGAACGGCUGAGUAACACGUGGAGAACCUGCCCCCUCCCCCGGGAUAGCCGCCCGAAAGGACGGGUAAUACCGGAUACCCCGGGGUGCCGCAUGGCACCCCGGCUAAAGCCCCGACGGGAGGGGAUGGCUCCGCGGCCCAUCAGGUAGACGGCGGGGUGACGGCCCACCGUGCCGACAACGGGUAGCCGGGUUGAGAGACCGACCGGCCAGAUUGGGACUGAGACACGGCCCAGACUCCUACGGGAGGCAGCAGUGGGGAAUCUUGCGCAAUGGGGGGAACCCUGACGCAGCGACGCCGCGUGCGGGACGGAGGCCUUCGGGUCGUAAACCGCUUUCAGCAGGGAAGAGUCAAGACUGUACCUGCAGAAGAAGCCCCGGCUAACUACGUGCCAGCAGCCGCGGUAAUACGUAGGGGGCGAGCGUUAUCCGGAUUCAUUGGGCGUAAAGCGCGCGUAGGCGGCCCGGCAGGCCGGGGGUCGAAGCGGGGGGCUCAACCCCCCGAAGCCCCCGGAACCUCCGCGGCUUGGGUCCGGUAGGGGAGGGUGGAACACCCGGUGUAGCGGUGGAAUGCGCAGAUAUCGGGUGGAACACCGGUGGCGAAGGCGGCCCUCUGGGCCGAGACCGACGCUGAGGCGCGAAAGCUGGGGGAGCGAACAGGAUUAGAUACCCUGGUAGUCCCAGCCGUAAACGAUGGACGCUAGGUGUGGGGGGACGAUCCCCCCGUGCCGCAGCCAACGCAUUAAGCGUCCCGCCUGGGGAGUACGGCCGCAAGGCUAAAACUCAAAGGAAUUGACGGGGGCCCGCACAAGCAGCGGAGCAUGUGGCUUAAUUCGAAGCAACGCGAAGAACCUUACCAGGGCUUGACAUAUGGGUGAAGCGGGGGAGACCCCGUGGCCGAGAGGAGCCCAUACAGGUGGUGCAUGGCUGUCGUCAGCUCGUGU
rnacentral:rRNA from 1 species